CGGUGUUAUAGUGUUGAAUACUCCUCGGAGAAGUGAGCCACACUGUUUUUUAAUCACAUAAACGCAUGUUUGAGUUUUCCAGUGUGUGUUAAAAACAUGUU